rnacentral:lncRNA from 1 species
GAAAAAGAGAAAAAGAAUUGCGUGGUGCAUGGAAAUGUUCAGUUAGUUGUGUAGUAAAAACAAAGGGAUCUUCUUAGGUUUUGAGGCUGUGAGAUUUAGUAGCUCUGUACAUGUAUAGACUAUCAUGGUCUGGUCUGGUCUGGUCUGAUUCAUCUCAGGAACUCUAUCUCAUAGUCUGUAAAUUUGUCAAUUAAUUAAGAUCUUGGUUGGUUUUAAUUAGCCUGAAGCUAGGGUUUUGACUGCUAUGCUUGAAGGAGAUUUCUUGUUUAGUGUAUGGUUAAAAGGGGAUAGAUAGCUUUCUGUUUUGGUUGAAGUCUUGCAGAAGAG